UACGUAGGGGGCAAGCGUUGUCCGGAAUCAUUGGGCGUAAAGAGCGUGUAGGCGGCUUGGUAAGUCCGCUGUGAAAGUCCAGGGCUCAACCCUGGAAUGCCGGUGGAAACUGUCAAGCUUGAGUCCGGAAGAGGCGAGUGGAAUUCCUGGUGUAGCGGUGAAAUGCGCAGAUAUCAGGAGGAACACCAAUGGCGAAGGCAGCUCGCUGGACGGUACUGACGCUGAGACGCGAAAGCGUGGGGAGCAAACAGG
rnacentral:rRNA from 1 species